rnacentral:rRNA from 1 species
AAGGGCACCACAAGAACGCGUGGAGCAUGUGGCUUAAUUUGACUCGACGCAGGAAAUCUUGCCGGGUCCGGACACACUGAGGAUUGACAGGUGUUAAACUCAACGCAUGCUUGCGUGCGUUGAGUAAUAAAAAUGCUAGUCCUUUCAUGAUUAUGUGAUAGGUGGUGCAUGGCCGUUCUUAGUUCGUGGAGUGAUCGGUCUGCUUAAUUGCGUAUCACUAAACGUGCAUACAUAUAUGUGUGUUGUGCGUUAAUAUUAUAUAUUUCACGAUAUAUAAAAUUGACCCUUCGCACGUAUCUGCGCGUUGAUAGCAACGAACGUGACCGUAACCUCUUGUUGCCUUUUUACACACACAGUGUCGUGUCUCACGUCACUGUGUGCAAAAAAGUGCCAACUAGAGGGACCGCUGUUUCCUUUUUUUAAACCAGAGGAAGGUUACGGCAAUAACAGGUCUGUGAUGCCCUUAGAUGUUCCGGGCCGCACACGUGCUACAAUGAUUAUUGCAGUGAGCAUCUCGAUAUAGACAAUAUUGUUUGUACGCGAUCACGUAUAUAGAAAUAUAUGCGUUGUAUUGCGUACACAAUACUGCCUGCUUCGAAAGUUCGCGGGUAAUCAAUUAGCAACAAUGAUUUCCGUAUAGCACACAUAUAUGUGAUGGUAUUACCCACACAGUACUUUGUGACUGUGUUGUGCGUAUUAUCACUCGCAUGUGCAAUUGUCAAUUCAUGGUGGGGACAGACUAUUGUUAAUUUUUAGUCUCGGUCUCAACUAGGAAUGCCUUGUACUGGUUAGUUCAUCAAACUACCAGGAAUACGUCCCUGCCCUUUGUACACACCGCCCGUCGCUCUUACCGAUGAACUAUACUGUGAGUUUAUUGGACGACACUCUCGCAUGUAUCUGUGCGUUGUGACGAAAAAUAAACAAACAGUGUGGUUUAAAGGAAAGAGAAGUCGAACAAGGC